rnacentral:rRNA from 1 species
UACGAAGGGGGCUAGCGUUGCUCGGAAUCACUGGGCGUAAAGCGCACGUAGGCGGACUCUUAAGUCAGAGGUGAAAUCCUGGAGCUCAACUCCAGAACUGCCUUUGAUACUGGGAGUCUCGAGUUCGGGAGAGGUGAGUGGAACUGCGAGUGUAGAGGUGAAAUUCGUAGAUAUUCGCAAGAACACCAGUGGCGAAGGCGGCUCACUGGCCCGAUACUGACGCUGAGGUGCGAAAGCGUGGGGAGCAAACAGGG